ACGUAGGCAGCGAGCGUUGUUCGGAGUUACUGGGCGUAAAGGGUGUGUAGGCGGUUGUUUAAGUUUGGUGUGAAAUCCCCCGGCUCAACCGGGGAACUGGAUCCGAAACGGGCAGUCUUGAGGGACGUAGGGGGGGCUGGAACUUCCGGUGGAGCGGUGAAAUGCGUUGAGAUCGGAAGGAACGCCCGUGGCGAAAGCGAGCCCCUGGACGUCUGCUGACGCUGAGGCGCGAAAGCUAGGGGAGCGAACGGGA
rnacentral:rRNA from 1 species